rnacentral:rRNA from 1 species
AUUGAACGCUGGCGGCAGGCCUAACACAUGCAAGUCGAACGAGUGGCGGACGGGUGAGUAAUGUCUGGGAAACUGCCUGAUGGAGGGGGAUACCUACUGGCAACGGUAGCUAAUACCGCAUACCAUCGGAUGUGCCCCGCUGGGAUUAGCUAGUAGGUGGGGUAACGGCUCACCUAGGCGCAGGUCCCUAGCUGGUCUGAGAGGAGGACAAGCCACACUGUAACUGAGACACGUUCAAGACUGUGAAGGGAGGCAGGAGUUGGGAAUAGUGCACAAGGGGCGCAAGCCUGAUGCAGCCAUGCCGCGUGUAUGAAGAAGGCCUUCGGGUUUUAAAGUACUUUCAGCGAGGAGGCGUUACUCGCAGAAGAAGCACCGGCUAACUCCGUGCCAGCAGCCGCGGUAAUAC